rnacentral:rRNA from 1 species
GUCUACGGCCAUGCCACUCUGAACAAGCCCAAUCUCAUCUGAUUUUGGAAGCUAAGCAAGGUAGGACCUGGUUAGUACUUGGAUGGGAGACCAACUAGGAAGACCAGGUGCUGUAGGCA